UACGUAGGGUGCAAGCGUUGUCCGGAAUUAUUGGGCGUAAAGAGCUCGUAGGCGGCUUGUUGCGUCGGCUGUGAAAUCCCGGGGCUUAACUCCGGGCGUGCAGCCGAUACGGGCAGGCUAGAGUCCGGUAGGGGAGACUGGAAUUCCUGGUGUAGCGGUGAAAUGCGCAGAUAUCAGGAGGAACACCGGUGGCGAAGGCGGGUCUCUGGGCCGAUACUGACGCUGAGGAGCGAAAGCGUGGGGAGCGAACAGG
rnacentral:rRNA from 1 species